AUGGCCGACAUUUCGAACACGAACAGCUUCGUGAAAAAGGUGAAAUAUCUCGGAAACGGUAAAUUUUACGACGAUCACGAUUUAAUCCGUUUGUACUCGGAAUACGCCGAUCUAUCGUAAACGAGCAUAAAAAGUAGGACAUAUGUUCUGUGCAAAACAGCAGCCACAACUCGUUUGAUCAGCAAAACACUCGAGACAGUUCUCUGACAAUGUCACUACAUCCUAUUGAUAACAACGUACAUCCCAUUAACUCGUGUAAUCUGGGUAGGGUGGCUGAACGCAGGAUGCGGCACAGGGUUACACAUCUCCGAUGAUCAUCUCUACAGGGUUCCCGACUGUUUUCCGCAGCUCGAUGGCGCAUUUAUCUAUCGAUUGGCCGUGCGAUACAUUUUCCGGUUCGUCCCUCAGGAUUUUAGCAGUGUAACAGCACAGCACGUAUUAUCCACGUGCUCGGGAAAAUAUCGUCGAAUCUCGUGCAACAUCGCGGCAGACACCGCGAUGAUGAUGCAUGUGUCGGGAGAGGCUCAGCUGUGCUACCCUGUUUUCACGCGUUCGUAUUAGCGAUACUCGAUCACACAAUAUUGCCGGGAAGUGUUCGGUGUGGCGUGCGCGUAAACAGGGAACGCGAGAGUACUUAUUGCGGGCGCGACCCUAAUCGCGCGGCGAGCAGUAGGCCCGAUGACGGUAAAACUGACGUCUCGCGUUUAUGUCAGCCGAACCGUUUUACCGGCAAACGGAGUGCACACUGUGCUUCUUCCCCUGUUGGGUCAUGCGUGCGACACGUCCCUGCUGCGCGGUCGAACAGCCAAGAAACGCAUGCGUCGUUCGGACCAAGAAUAUCGGGCAAUUAUUAUCUGACCGAUACACGAAUAAAUGUUUUUUUCUUUUUCGUUUCGUAAACUCUUUUCAAGUUUUUUUCUUUCCCCGGUGCUGUCCCAAUACUUGAUCGCGCGAACGUUUGCUCGACGUCGGAUAAUUUUCUUGUGAGAAACAGAAACAGCAUCCGGGUAUUUCGCUAUUCGAUCACGAACGACGAUAACGGAACGGCAGAUGUUGCGGGGAAUCUCUGUAAAUGAUUGGGAAUUUGCCGCGAAACGCCGUUUUGUAAUAGCAAUUAGGAGAGACGACGAUCCGUCGCAUGCGUUCGUGUAACUGUUCCUUUCCAGAGACCGUACAAUUUUCAUUCAUUUCGAUUUCUUUAUCAACGUACCAAGGCGUAGGUGAAUAAUUACCGGUUGCAACCUCGAGGAACGUAGGAUUGCAGGUGUGCAAUAAUAAAGCAUGCCGAGAGGAUGACGCAACGUUGCAGUGUAUGUUUUAUGAGAAUAUUGAAACUCAUGAGCAAUUACGUGCAUGUGAUCGUUCGUUUGCGUUGAUAAUAGCUGAAUUUUAGCGAAGGAGAUGCAUUGUGUACUAACGUUCCUACAAAUUGUUCCACCUUUUUUGAGGAUAGCAGAAACAGUUUCUGCAACAUCGUUUCUAUAUUUUUCUUGCCAAAUAUAUUACAUCCGUUUCUACAGCUGUGUAAACGAGGUUGCAGCUACGGUGCGACAACAUAGACACCGUACUUAACUUUGGAUUAUUGAUCGUCGAUAAGGUGUUGGAAUAAUUUGUUUAUAAGGUUUACAUUUAAUAUUCGAUGGAUUUUCUGUUAUCAUUUUCUUGUCACGUGCAACGGAAUGUUGAAGAAAACUGCAACAUAUGAAAUAAAUCUUUAGAAAUUUGA